rnacentral:misc_RNA from 1 species
GCAAACUUGGUCAUUUAGAGGAAGUAAAAGUCGUAACAAGGUCUCCGUUGGUGAACCAGCGGAGGGAUCAUUACCUAUUUCCGUGGAGCGCCCUUCUUCGCGAAGGGACCGCGCCGGAAAUACCCUGUGAACCUUACCCAUUGUUGCCUCGGCGUGGCCGGGAACCCCCCCUGGGGGGAGCCUGCCCGCCGGUGGAUCCAAAAACUCUCUGAACCCAUGAGAAACUCUGAUUCAGUCAAAACAAAUGUGACAAAACUUUCAACAACGGAUCUCUUGGCUCCAGCAUCGAUGAAGAACGCAGC